UUGACAAAAAUUCGUGCCAGCAGUUGCGGUUAAACAAAAAUUAAAUUAAAUUAUUUCAGUAUAUAAUAAGUAUAAAAUAUAUAUUUAAAAUUAAAUAUUAAAUUAUUAAGUGAAAUUUUAAUUUAAUUAAAUUUUAUAAUAAUAUUUAUGAUUUAAGAAAUUUUAAUAUAAACUAGGAUUAGAUACCCUAUUAUUAAAAAUUUAAAUUUAAAUACUAAAAUAGUAAAUAAUUUAUAUUGAAACUUAAAUAAUAUGGCGGUAUUUUAGUUCAUUUAGAGGAAUCUGUCUAAUAAAUGAUAAUCCACGAAUAAAUUUACUUAAUUUAUAAUUUUGUAUAUCAUUGUAAAAAAAAUAUUUUUAAAUAAAAAUAAUAUUUAAAAAUUUAAAUUAAAAAUUAAUUCAGAUCAAGAUGCAGAGUAUAAUUAAGAUUAUGAUGGAUUACAAUAAAUAUAUUUAAAUGAAUAAGAUUUUGUAAAUAUAAUUGAAGGUGGAUUUAAAUGUAAUUUUAAUUAGUUUAUUAAAAGUAUUAAU
rnacentral:rRNA from 1 species